GACGAACGCUGGCGGCGUGCUUAACACAUGCAAGUCGAGCGGUAAGGCCCUUUCGGGGGUACACGAGCGGCGAACGGGUGAGUAACACGUGGGUGACCUGCCCUCAGCUCUGGGAUAAGCCUGGGAAACCGGGUCUAAUACUGGAUAUGACUCCAUGACGCAUGUUGUGGGGUGGAAAGCCUUGUGCGGCUGAGGAUGGGCCCGCGGCCUAUCAGCUUGUUGGUGGGGUGANGGCCUACCAAGGCGACGACGGGUAGCCGGCCUGAGAGGGCGACCGGCCACACUGGGACUGAGACACGGCCCAGACUCCUACGGGAGGCAGCAGUGGGGAAUCUUGGACAAUGGGCGCAAGCCUGAUCCAGCAAUGCCGCGUGCAGGAUGAAGGCCU
rnacentral:rRNA from 1 species